UACAGAGGGGGCAAGCGUUGUUCGGAAUUACUGGGCGUAAAGGGCGCGUAGGCGGCCCGUUAAGUCGAACGUGAAAUCCCCGAGCUCAACUCGGGAACUGCGUCCGAUACUGGCGGGCUUGAAUCCGGGAGAGGGAUGCGGAAUUCCAGGUGUAGCGGUGAAAUGCGUAGAUAUCUGGAGGAAUACCGGUGGCGAAGGCGGCAUCCUGGACCGGCAUUGACGCUGAGGCGCGAAAGCCAGGGGAGCAAACGGG
rnacentral:rRNA from 1 species